rnacentral:lncRNA from 10 species
UGAUUAGCAAGAGUUAGUCCUGAGGAAGACAAGGAAGUGACUUCGUAAAGAAAAACAAUCUGCGAAAACUCAAAGACUGGAAUGUACAUCUCAGAGCCCUAACCUGGGGCUUUCCACAUCACCUGAAGUAUUACUGAUUUCUACUUCAUCAAAUAAUAGCUGAUGCUGGUUUUCUAUGUCUUCUGAAGUGAUUUUGAUAAUUGUUUUCCUAAACAUUGGCCUAUUUUAACUUUUCAAAUAUAUUGGCAAAAAGUGUUGAUAACCCUUCACCUUUUCUAAUCUAACUGUACUCAUAUAUUGUAAUUUCAUUAAUAUUAUUUAUUUUUACC